rnacentral:rRNA from 1 species
CCCGUCACAUCACGAAAGUGGAUUGUACUAGAAGUCUGCACGCCAACCCGCAAGGGAGGCAGCGGCCCAAGGUAUGAUUCAUGAUUGGGGUGAAGUCGUAACAAGGUACCC